UGAUUGAAAUGGAAACGGCUUUUUUCUUCACAUUGGCAAUUGUUUUAGCAGCAGUGUUUUAAUUUGGCACGUUUUUGACGAUACUCCGUUGCGGCCGUGAUGACGUCAGCAGCACUGACGCGGUCAUCCAGCGUCGAGUCUUCAGAGCUGAGUUUCUGCAUUGAGUUCACCUCUAUCUGUGUGUCUGCUGACCACAACAAUACAGCAGGCAGAGA